rnacentral:rRNA from 1 species
GGCAGGCUCAACACAUGCAAGUCGAGGGGCAUCGCGGGUAGCAAUACCUGGCGGCGACCGGCGAAAGGGUGAGUAACGCGUGAGCAACAUGCCCGUAUGUGGGGGAUAGUCGAUGGAAACGUCGCGUAAUACCCCGUAACAUAAGUUCUCGCAUGGGGAUUUAUUGAAAGAUUAAUUGCAUACGGAUUGGCUCGCGUACCAUUAGGUAGACGGCGGGGUAACGGCCCACCGUGCCGACGAUGGUUAGGGGUUCUGAGAGGAAGGUCCCCCACAUUGGAACUGAGACACGGUCCAGACUCCUACGGGAGGCAGCAGUGAGGAAUAUUGGUCAAUGGCCGGAAGGCUGAACCAGCCAUGCCGCGUGCGGGAGGACGGCCCUAUGGGUUGUAAACCGCUUUUGUGUGGGAGCAAUAAGAGUCACUUGUGGCUUGAUGAGAGUACCAUACGAAUAAGCAUCGGCUAACUCCGUGCCAGCAGCCGCGGUAAUACGGAGGAUGCAAGCGUUAUCCGGAUUUAUUGGGUUUAAAGGGUGCGUACGCGGCUUGGUAAGCGGGAGGUGAAAUGCCGGCG